rnacentral:rRNA from 1 species
GACGUAGGAGGCGAGCGUUGUCCGGAAUCACUGGGCGUAAAGGGCGCGUAGGCGGCAUGCCAAGCGUGUGGUGAAAGCCCGGGGCUCAACCCCGGGUCGGCCGUGCGGACUGGCGUGCUUGAGCACUGUAGGGGCGGGUGGAAUUCCGGGUGUAGCGGUGGAAUGCGUAGAGAUCCGGAAGAACACCGGUGGCGAAGGCGGCCCGCUGGGCAGGAAGGAAGCGCAAGCUUCCGGCUGACGCUGAGGCGCGACAGCGUGGGGAGCAAACAGG